rnacentral:rRNA from 1 species
AUGGCCGCCGAAGGGGACGAAGAGGGGGCCGCGGCGCCCAAGAUGGUAGGGCUGGCGCUCAGCGGCCCCAAAUCAAGCGCCUACGUCCUCCGGUGGGCGCUCCGCAACUUCGCCCAGGACGACGCCCCUCCCGCCGAGUUCAAGCUCAUCCACGUCCUCACCCCGGUCCUGGCCGUGCCCACGCCAUUGGGGCACCUCCUCCCGAUUGAUGAAGUCAGCAACAGCGUCGCCGAAGGCGAGCUCGAGAAGAUGUGGAUCGAGAAGCAGGAAAUGCUGCAACGCUGCAAAGACACGUGUGAUGAAAACAAGGUUGAAGCUCAAGUACUGCUUGUUGAGGGUAAAGAUGUCGCGGAUACCAUUUCCAGUCUUGUUUCUCAGUACCAGAUACAUAACCUCGUUAUCGGUAACCCUCCCAGCAAGAGCCCAUUCACUAGGAGGUCCACUGCAAGUAGGACGGCCUGCAAAAUUUGCAAGUGUCUCCCCAGCUUUUGCACGGCAUAUGUUGUUUCAAAGGAUGGAUUGUCUUCAGUUCAUGUUCCUGAAUCGGAAAGUGGCUCGCCCUCUGGCUCUCCAGUACCAAAAGGCAACUCUGGGAGCUCCAGCACCAAAGAAUUUACAGAUGGAACGUCCUCAAGAUCCGAUUUGGAUGGCAGUUCAGCGCCGGGCCUGCCUAGUUUUACUCUGAACGAUUAUCUCACUGGAAAUGCACCAGUAUAUGCUGACAAGGAGAGAAGAAUUGCCUCACGCACUGGUGCUGAAAGCUCUAUAUUAAGUCAAUUUCGGGGUUCGGACAAGGUGCCAACAAGUUCACUGCAGGAAUUAAUGCUUUCAGACAACAAGGAUGAUGUCAGUACAGAGCUUGGAAAGCUGAACCUUGAACCGAGUCAUAAUAGGCUGCUGGCAACGGCAUCCAAGGACGCUGAUAGGGAGUCGAGGCUGGAGAAGCCCCUUGUACUUCCAAGCGACUCGUACUCAAUGUUCACCUGGGAAGAGAUUGAUAAUGCUACAGCGUCAUUCUCACUCAAGAUCGGAACUGGGUCUAAUGGAACGGUAUACAAGGGCCAUCUCAAUCACUUGGAUGUAGCGAUAAAGGUCCUUCAUUCUGAUGACAAAUCCAGUACCAGGCAUUUCAACCAAGAGCUUGAGGUUCUGAGCAAGAUACGCCACCCACACUUGCUGAUGCUCCUGGGAGCCUGUCCGGACAGGGGCUGCUUGGUGUACGAGUACAUGGAGAACGGCAGCCUUGCGGAUCGUCUGCAGCGCAGAAAGGGCACACCGCCGAUCCCAUGGUUUGAUCGCUUCCGCAUUGCCUGGGAAAUUGGGUCAGCCCUGGUGUUCCUGCACAGCACAAAGCCCAGCCCAAUCAUCCACCGUGACCUGAAGCCUGAGAACGUCCUCCUCGACCGCAACCUAGUGAGCAAGAUUGGUGACGUGGGCCUGUCGACCCUGAUGCCACCCAAGGAGACUCUGUCAAACCGCACGGUGUACAAGAAGACGGGCCUGGCGGGCACACUGUUCUACCUGGACCCGGAGUACCAGAGGACCGGGCAGGUGUCGGUGAAGUCGGACACGUACGCGCUUGGCAUGGUGAUCCUUGAGCUGCUGACGGCAAGGUGCCCGAUCGGACUACCUGAGGUGGUGGAGCAAGCAGUGGAAGACGGUCAGAUUAGCAAUGUCUUGGAUGAGAGCGCGGGGGACUGGCCCGUGAGGGAAGCGCAUGACCUUGCUCAGCUAGGCCUGAAUUGUUUGGAGAUGCGGAGCAAGGACCGGCCUGACCUCAACAGCGUGGUGCUGGAGGAGCUGGGGCGGCUGAAGCGUAUCGCGGCCAGCGUGUCGGGGGUGGCGUUGCCAGGGUCACCCAGUCACUUCAAGUGCCCAAUACUCAAGACGGUGAUGUAUGACCCAUGCAUCGCGUCGGACGGGUACACGUACGAGCGCAGCGCGAUGGAGAUGUGGCUGUGCGACAAGGACGUGUCGCCGGUGACCAAGGCGCGGCUGCGUGACAAGACGCUGUUGCCUAACCUGUCUCUCAAGAGCGCCAUCGUGAGGUGGGUGGCCGAUGGGGGGAGGCCUGUCAAGGAGUAA